UACGUAGGGGGCAAGCGUUGUCCGGAUUUAUUGGGCGUAAAGAGCGUGUAGGCGGCCAAACAGGUCCGUUGUGAAAACUGGGAGGCUCAACCUCCAGACGUCGACGGAAACCGUGUGGCUAGAGUCCGGAAGAGGAGAGUGGAAUUCCUGGUGUAGCGGUGAAAUGCGCAGAUAUCAGGAAGAACACCCGUGGCUAAGGCGGCUCUCUAGUACGGUACUGACGCUGAGACGCGAAAGCGUGGGGAGCGAACAGG
rnacentral:rRNA from 1 species